AAUGGGAGAAAUCCUGAAGCAGCAACGCCGCGUGGAGGAUGAAGGGUCUAUGACUUGUAAACUCCUGUAAAGAAGGAAAAAAUUCCCAUUAGAUGGGAGAUGAUGGUACUUCUGGAGUAAGCCCCGGCUAACUACGUGCCAGCAGCCGCGGUAAUACGUAGGGGGCAAGCGUUGUCCGGAUUUACUGGGUGUAAAGGGUGCUCAGGCGGAUUUGUAAGUCAGAGGUGAAAUCUUACAGCUUAACUGUGAAACUGCCUUUGAUACUGCAAGCCGAGCGUAUGGAAGAGAAUGAUGGAAUAUCUGGUGUAGCAGUGAAAGGCGUAGAUAGCAGGUAGAACACCAAUGGCGAAGACAGUCACUUGGUCUAUUACUGACGCUAAAGCACGAAAGCGUGGGUAGCAAACA
rnacentral:rRNA from 1 species